GAUGAACGCUGGCGGCGUGCCUAAUACAUGCAAGUCGAGCGAACGGACGAGAAGCUUGCUUCUCUGAUGUUAGCGGCGGACGGGUGAGUAACACGUGGAUAACCUACCUAUAAGACUGGGAUAACUUCGGGAAACCGGAGCUAAUACCGGAUAAUAUUUUGAACCGCAUGGUUCAAAAGUGAAAGACGGUCUUGCGGUCACUUAUAGAUGGAUCCGCGCUGCAUUAGCUAGUUGGUAAGGUAACGGCUUACCAAGGCAACGAUGCAUAGCCGACCUGAGAGGGUGAUCGGCCACACUGGAACUGAGAAACGGUCCCGACUCCUACGGGAGGCAGCAGUAGGGAAUCUUCCGCAAUGGGCGAAAGCCUGACGGAGCAACGCCGCGUGAGUGAUGAAGGUCUUCGGAUCGUAAAACUCUGUUAUUAGGGAAGAACAUAUGUGUAAGUAACUGUGCACAUCUUGACGGUACCUAAUCAGAAAGCCACGGCUAACUACGUG
rnacentral:rRNA from 1 species